GCAUCGCUGGUUCAGUGGUAGAAUGCUUGCCUACUAGGCGAGCGACAUGGGUUCGAUUUCUGGUCGAUACA